rnacentral:misc_RNA from 1 species
CCGAGUUUACAACUCCCAAACCCCUGUGAACAUACCUAUACGUUGCCUCGGCGGAUCAGCCCGCGCCCCGUAAAAAGGGACGGCCCGCCCGAGGACCCCCAAACUCUGUUUUUAGUGGAACUUCUGAGUAAAACCAUAAAUAAAUCA